rnacentral:rRNA from 1 species
CGCGUAGGCGGCCACUGCAAGUCAGUUGUGAAAUCUCCGGGCUUAACCCGGAAAGGUCAACUGAUACUGCAGGGCUAGAGUGCAGAAGGGGCAACUGGAAUUCUCGGUGUAGCGGUGAAAUGCGUAGAUAUCGAGAGGAACACCUGCGGCGAAGGCGGGUUGCUGGGCUGACACUGACGCUGAUGUGCGAAAGCCAGGGGAGCGAACG